CGACCGGCGCACGGGUGAGUAACACGUAUGCAACCUGGCCGCCACAGGGGGAUAACCCGCGGAAACGCGGCCUAAUACCCCGUGACGCCACCGGAGGGCAUCCUCCGGUGGCCAAAGGAGCGAUCCGGUGGCGGAUGGGCAUGCGGCGCAUUAGCUAGACGGCGGGGUGACGGCCCACCGUGGCGACGAUGCGUAGGGGUUCUGAGAGGAAGGCCCCCCACACUGGGGCUGAGACACGGCCCAGACUCCUACGGGAGGCAGCAG
rnacentral:rRNA from 1 species